rnacentral:misc_RNA from 1 species
AACAAGGCGUACCUGCGGACCUGCGGAAGGAUCAUUACCGAGUGUGAACCCCCCCGUAAAAAAGAGGGGUUACCUCCCGUCCUUUGCUGGGAACCCCUUUCCAACUUGGAAGGAGGUUGUUUUCAGACCCUUCUGCUUCGGUGGGGUAACCCACCGGAACAACCUCAAAAAUAUUCUCAAUUCAAAACCGUUCAGUCCGAGAACUUUUUUGAAAAGCGAAAAAACUUUUAACAACGGAUC